CUUUGACCACUCUAGAGAUAGAGCUUCCCCUUCGGGGGCAAAGUGACAGGUGGUGCAUGGUUGUCGUCAGCUCGUGUCGUGAGAUGUUGGGUUAAGUCCCGCAACGAGCGCAACCCUUAUUGUUAGUUGCCAUCAUUUAGUUGGGCACUCUAGCGAGACUGCCGGUGACAAACCGGAGGAAGGUGGGGAUGACGUCAAAUCAUCAUGCCCCUUAUGACCUGGGCUACACACGUGCUACAAUGGGAAGUACAACGAGUCGCGAAGUCGCGAGGCUAAGCUAAUCUCUUAAAGCUUCUCUCAGUUCGGAUUGUA
rnacentral:rRNA from 1 species